AUCCUUUUGUAAUUCAUAGGCUUGAUAAUUGGGUUUUCAUACUCAUGUGUGAGAUGAGCCUCCCUCAAACCUUAUUAGUAUACAUCCACGUUACCUGUCUGACA